rnacentral:rRNA from 1 species
UACAGAGGUCCCGGGCGUUGUUCGGAUUCACUGGGCGUAAAGGGUGCGUAGGUGGUGAGGUAAGUCGGAUGUGAAAUCUCGGAGCUUAACUCCGAAAUGGCAUUGGAAACUACCUCGCUCGAGGGUUGGAGGGGGGACUGGAAUGCUGGUGUAGCAGUGAAAUGCGUAGAUAUCAAGCGGAACACCAGUGGCGAAGGCGAGUCCCGUGGACAACUCCUGACACUGAGGCACGAAAGCUAGGGGAGCAAACAGGAUAGAUAC